AACGAACGCUGGCGGCAUGCCUAACACAUGCAAGUCGAACGAGACCUUCGGGUCUAGUGGCGCACGGGUGCGUAACGCGUGGGAACCUGCCCUUAGGUUCGGAAUAACUCCCCGAAAGGGGUGCUAAUACCGGAUAAUGUCUUCGGACCAAAGAUUUAUCGCCUUUGGAUGGGCCCGCGUUGGAUUAGCUAGUUGGUAGGGUAAAAGCCUACCAAGGCGACGAUCCAUAGCUGGUCUGAGAGGAUGAUCAGCCACACUGGGACUGAGACACGGCCCAGACUCCUACGGGAGGCAGCAGUGGGGAAUAUUGGACAAUGGGCGAAAGCCUGAUCCAGCAAUGCCGCGUGAGUGAUGAAGGCCGUAGGGUUGUAAAGCUCUUUUACCCGGGAUGAUAAUGACAGUACCGGGAGAAUAAGCUCCGGCUAACUCCAUG
rnacentral:rRNA from 1 species